UAUUAGGUCUCCUUCGAGACCACCAACUCUAAUAGGCACUAGGCCU
rfam:Biomphalaria glabrata isolate BB02 unplaced genomic scaffold LGTN_random_Scaffold3632, whole genome shotgun sequence.